rnacentral:pre_miRNA from 1 species
GUCUGAUUUCCGUAAGAUAUGUUUGAUAUUCUUGGUUGUUUUUUGAAAGAAUCGACCAGGAAUCAAACAUAUUAUUACGGCGGUCAGGA